GAUGAACGCUAGCUACAGGCUUAACACAUGCAAGUCGAGGGGCAGCAUGGUCUUAGCUUGCUAAGGCCGAUGGCGACCGGCGCACGGGUGAGUAACGCGUAUCCAACCUGCCUUACACUCUUGGACAGCCUUCUGAAAGGGAGAUUAAUACAAGAUGUUAUCAUGAGUAAGCAUUUUCGCAUGAUUAAAGGUUUACCGGUGUAAGAUGGGGAUGCGUUCCAUUAGAUAGUAGGCGGGGUAACGGCCCACCAAGGCGACGAUCGGUAGGGGUUCUGAGAGGAAGGUCCCCCACAUUGGAACUGAGACACGGUCCAA
rnacentral:rRNA from 1 species